GAGAUGGAACAUUGGCUGGGGAUUAUUCUUGCUGCUCUUUUCUUUGAGUGUAAAGGAGAAGACAGAGUGAUCCAGCCACCAGGAGAUGUCAUUACUACUGAAGGAGAGAAAGUUACUCUUGGCUGUACAUUUGAGACCACUGACACAUUUCCAUAUUUGUUCUGGUACAAACAAGAAGAAAAUGAUUUCCCGAAGUACAUGGUGAAGCGUUACUUAAAAACAGAAGAUAAUGCUCCAGAGUUCCAGAAAGACAGAUUUGAUGCUAAAAUCAACAAGACAUCAGUUCCUCUGGAGAUCCAGAAUCUUCGGCUGUCUGACUCUGCUGUGUACUACUGUGCUCUGAGGCCCACAGUGACAGGAAACACCAAAACUCUGUACAAAAACCUUUGGAGCAAAGACAACACAAUACUCCACAACGUCCACCAGAGGGAGACACACUGUUAAGGACAAUCACAAAAUGUUGAGAGUUCCUCGACAGAUGACGAAGAGGAAGGAGCAAUGAUGUGAAGGCCCAGAUCCAUCAGAGUAUCAAUGCUCUUCCUCUCUC